CUGACUCUUUGUUUUGGCUCAGGUCAUGAUAUCACAGUUGGUGGGUUCUAGCCCCGCAUUGGGCUCUGCACUGACAGUGCAGACCCUGCUUGGAAUUCUCUCCCUCUCUCUCUGCCCUUCCCCUGCUCGUGUUUGUGCUCACUAGCUCUCUCUCAAAAUAAAAAAUAAACUUAAAAAAAAGUUUUAAACAGUUUAUAACUGAGAAUAAUGUACCAUUGCUUAUAUGGCUUCCCUUACUACAGAGUUACAAGGCCCCUAGGGUGCAAGGCCAUAACAAAUUGAAAUUACUUGUGAUAUCUACGUAUUUGGUAUUCAUUCAAGAAAUAUUUAUUGUGAUUAUAUGCUGGACAUAAUCUAGGGAGAGUGCUUUAUUUAAACAGCUUUUGAAAUAAACAUUUACUUUUAAAAUGAUUUUUCAAAAGUAAACAUUCAAAAAACCCUAUUGAUUAAUAAUUGUUGCUUGUUCAUUCAUUCAUUCAACAUUUAUUGAGUCCCCAGUAUAUACAAGACCCAGUGCACACUAUAGAGAGACUAAGAUGAACAAGAAAAGACCUCUGCCCUCUGGGAGGCUGCUGCUUGAUCAACAAGACUGGCAUGUAAUUGAAUGAAUAUUGUGAUAGAAGUCUGUUGGUGUACAACAGGCACAUAAAGCAGGAAUAAGCAUUUUACCUGGGAACUCUGGAAAAACUACAUAGGGAGGUGAUAGAUUGUUGUUGCCCGUCCUUUCCCAACACCAGAACAGAUUGUCUUAGCUGAGAAGGAAGUAAAGAAAACAGUUAAUAUAUUAACAGAUUUUUUUGCCCUUUGGAGGAGUUACAGAUAAUUGUUUUAAAAAUAGAUCAACAAGGUAUACCUGGGUGGUUCAGUUGGUUAAGCAUUCGACUUUGGCUCAGGUCAUGAUCUCACAGUUUGUGAGUUCGAGUCCCACGUUGGGCUCUGUGCUGACAGCUCAGGGCCUGGAGCCUGCUUUGGAUUCUGUGUGUGUGUCUCUCUCUCUGCCCCUCCCGUGCUCAUGCUCUGUCUCCCUCUCAAAAAUGAAUAAACAUUACAAAAAGUUUAAAUAAAUAAAAAUAGAUCAACAAAGCAAAGUCCUUUAAAACAUAUUAAGUCAUUCCCUGUUUUUUUUAAAUGGGAUCUGUAAUUUGUGCAGAUUAUAAGCAAUGAAUAAAUCCUCUAUUGAGAGAAUGUCUAAGAAAUGUCAUUUUCUUUUGGGGUGGGAGUUUUUGUUGUUGGGAGUGGUGGUAUUUGUUUUGGUCUAUUGUCAUGAUUGGAUUCUGGUAUAAUAUUUGGAAUUGAGAAUAACUUAAAUAACCUUGAAAUGAUAGUGAAAAUAAUAAAAAGGAAACACUGAUUGAAUAAUGACACUAUUACCCUUGGGGAUAGGUACUUAUGUGUACCUAGAUUGGGCAUGAAACCUCAGAAGCUUUCUUAAAUGCCUAACAAAGUUUAUCCUUGGGCCUGCAUGUUCCUCUGUCUAAUACAGGCAUUAAACAAAAGCAAAACACAGUGGGCUUGGGAAGAAUAGUCCUGAAGACUCCCUGAAGGUGACAGAAACUAAUUUUUUCUCUUCUUUUGUUGCUAAGCAUUUUGAAAAGGACACUAUAAUCUACAUCCUCCAUUUCCACUUUCUCUUUGCAUAUUGCUGUAUUCUCACUUCUGUUCCCACUCCUCUACUUGCACUGUUCUUUAACAUUAAAUUAUUAAGCCUCUUUCUGUUAUCACUCUGCUUCUUGUCUCAACUACUUAUUUAUUUCCCAAAGUUGCUGCAAGGUAAUAAUAAAUUACCCUAUAGCAUUUGUGUUUGUAUGUGCUUAUGUUCUUUUCCCACCUGAACUGAAGCAAAUACAGUUUUUAUUAUACUAAAAUAUCAUUGUAAAGCUAAAACAAUUAAAAUUGUAAAUGUCUGGUUGACCAGAGCAUGUGCCUCCCUCCAACAUGUUUUUGCAAUAUGAUGUAUUAAAAUUAUUUUAAUACUUAUUACCAAAGCUAUUUUUUCUUGUUUCUUAUUAUGUAAUAUUUGACAUAUAAAUAUAUAAUAUAUGAAAUACAAGUUAUGAAGCAUAAUAAUAAAAUGAGCAACUAUUAAUCCACUACUGAAUUUAAUACCUAGAAUAUUGCAGGAUCACUGAAUUCACCUGGGUGUUGUAUCCCAUGUCCCUCCUUCAAGAGGGCUAACCACUAUCCUGAAUUUUGUGUUUAUUUUGUUCUUGCUUUGUUAUUUCUCUGUUGAAAAACAUAUAACCAUAUAUGUAUGUAUCUCUAAAAAUAUAUUGCUUAGCCUUCUUGUUUUUAGCUUUUAAAAACAUUAUGUGAUAUAUGUAGUCUUCUCCCUUUGAUUUUUUUUCCUCUCAAAAUUGUAUUUCUUAUAUUUAUACAUGUUACUGCAAUAGUUGUAGGUCUAUUAUAUGAAUAUAUCCUUUGUACGUUUUUCUGACAAUGGGCAUCUGGGUUAUUUCCAUUUUUGCUGUUACAAAAAAAUACUGCUGUGAACAUUGGCAUGCAUGUCUCCUGUGAGGAAUCACUAGCAGUGAAACUGCUACAUCAAGGCAUCUGCCCACAUCCAACUUCACUAGAUAAUCCUAGGUUGUAUUCCCAAGUCGUUGUACCAUUUUACCUUACCCACACUAGCCGUGGAGACAGCCCCACAUUUUUGUCAACACUUAUUUUUGAGAGGUCUUAAUUCUUGUUAAUUCAGUGGAUAAUAUUUAGUCAUAAUGACCAGCUAUCACAAUGUAGUCAUAAUUUACAUUUGCCUGAUCAUUAAUGUGAUAGAGCAUCUUUCUCUCAAUUUGCUCACCAAAGAUAUUUCUUCUUCUACCAAUUUCCUGCCUUCUGCAUAUUUUUCUAUUCGGUUGUAUACCUCAUGUUUAUCAAAGUGUAGAAGUUCUUUCUAUAGUCUCAAUAAUAAUCACUUGUGGCUUGUGAUUUCACUUUCUUUAUGAGCAGCUGGGUUACAGAGUUCUUAUAAAUGCAAUAUAAGCAGAAGUCUACUGGCAGGUUUCUCUGAGAGUUUUUGCUAUCCUAAUCAAAGGAAAAGACUGGCUUCCCUUCUUUUCCUACCUUCUUUGAACUUGGAUGUGAUAUUUAAGCUAUAGCAGCCAUCUUGUGAUGGUGAAGAAAAGGCCAAGAAGAGUAGUGCCACUGGUCUUUAAAUGUUGAGCCACUAAAACAAUCAGCAACUAGCUACCUCCAGAUUUCUCCAUAUGUAAGAAAAAACAAAAAUAAACAAAACAAUUGUUUAAGCCUCAAAUAUCACAACUGAUAGAAGGCUAAAGAGUAUGUUGACUACUAUUUUUGAGAAAUCAUGUAAUAUUACUCUAAGAAAACCUUUCACUUGAGCUAACUUAACUGAAACUGGUCCUUCAAACCACACAGACCUACAUGAAAAAAUUGGGGCAGAGAGAAAAGAGUGCUGAAGGAGAAUGAACUUUGAAGAAUGGUUUGAGCAUAGAGACAAAAUAAAUGGCACAUUCUGAAGCCUCUGAGUGGGAAAGGAGGUGAAAACGCUCACAUGGUGGAUUAGUGGAAAUGAAGGUUCUAAAAGGAAGGUUAAAGCAGUUUAUAGCUUAAAAGUGUAGCUGGAGGUAAAGAGGAAUCACUGAAAAUGUAUAGUGAUUUGCCAAAAAGAGUCAUUUAAAACAGGUAAUCUAGUAGUGAGCGGAAGUUCUAAUCUCUGAAGUCUAUAAACUGAAGACGACAAACCUUAUUUUGUAAACUGCAUUAUUCAGUUUCAAGUUGUUUUCUAUGUUUAUUUCCAUUUUAUUACCCUCCAUCUUUCCUAAAGUCUUGUUUAUGGUUUGUAGCCCUUUUACAGUUUUGCUACAGGGUAUUGGGGUUAAAGUCUUCUGUUAACUCUUGGGCCCAGUGCACGAGUGUGAGGAACUAUAGGAAGGAGGUAAAUCUCUAGGAUCAGUUUUGGGGGCCUCAUGGAUGAGCAAACCAGCUUCUUCCACCAACACUCUCCCUUAGUAUUGCAGAUCCUGUGUUUUAUGACAUCAGUUGAUUUUUAGGAAGACAAGAUUUUCUUAAUAGGCUUACUGUGAUGAUCAAAUAUGAAAGUGUAAGCUGCCUAGCAAAUGUCUGAUCUAAGCAGACAUACAAUACAUAUUUUUUUCAAAAACAAAGAUUUCUGUGAAUCUACCUCCAUUAUUUUUGCUUCCCUACCACCCACUCAACCCAAAAUCUACCAUAGUUCCCUAAUCUACGAAAGAAAGGGGGUUGGUGUGACGUGACUUGUUCUUAGUAAAUCCACACCUGGCUCUGUUGAUCACCACUUCCUUUUCUCUACGAUGCUCACAAAUUGUUUCUUUAACAAUCUUUUUUAAAAUGUAUCACCAGAAAUACAGAAGUUAAUUACCUAUAAAAUAUCUAUAGUGUUAAAGCCAACACGUAUAUUGUUAUUUACAAAAAACUCUUGAGGUACCUGGGGGCUCAGUGGGUUAAGCAUUGGACUUUGGCUCAGGUCACGAUCUCACAGUUUGUGAGUUCGAGCCCCUGGUUGGGCUCUGUGCUAAUAGCUGAGAGCCUGGAGGCUGCUUUGAAUUGUGUCUUUCUCUCUGCCCCUCCCCACUCGUGCUCUCACGCGCGCGUGAGCUCUCUCUCUCUCAAAAAUAAACAUUAAAAUUUUUUUUUUCAAUAACAAAAAAAAUCUUGAAUAGGAUUGCCAUCUAGUUCCUGCUCUUCUUCAGAAUCUACCUUCUUCAGCUGUUUUAGAAACAAAAUAAAAUCCACCCUUCUCUCCUGAUUCCUUUUCUGUUCAUAACCCAUGGGUGUGCUCUUCUCAUAUUAUACUUGUCCCUCUCUUCAACCCAUGACUGUAUGGGUAUGACUGCCUAACUCAUUUCCUUAAGCAAUGGCAGUAGGCAUCCUUCAGCACUGUAUUCCCAGCUCUAGAGUUGUACUUGGCACAAUGAAGUCACAUGCAACUAAAAAAAAAAAAUUGCUUGAAUAAACUAAUGAAUGAGAAAAAGGAAAAUAAAUAAGAGUUCAGAAGAGAGUCAAACUGUGCCUCCGACCCUUUUUUCCUGUUAUUUUAGUAUUUUACCCCCAAAUUUAAGCUUGUCUGGAGGGAAAGGGAGGAGUAGGGUUAAUUUUCCUGCCACUUUAUUUACAGGUCCAUGACACCACUUUAUAAGCACUUUUUUGCGUCCAUGAUAAUAUGAAGUACUUUACAAGGUGGAUCUAUCCCCUUCUAAAUGAAGAUGUUAUGGAAUACACCUGAAUGGAAGUCAAGGGAGCAAAGGAAAGCAAAGGAAACUUACAGGUGCUUCCCUGCUUUUCUUCCUUAUUAAGAUCAGAGCCUGUAAUGCAUUUCUAAGAACUUCCUAACCCUCUAGGGGCUACCUUCCCUUUCAGAGUUUCUCACAUAACAGAUUUCAUUUAACUUUCCUUUGCACUCUUUAAGGUUAUUUAUUUUGAGAGAGCAAGCACAAGCGGGGUAGGGGCAGAGAGAGAGGGAGAGAAAGAAUCCCAAGCUUUCAGCCCGGAGCCUGACAAAUAUAAUGACCUGAGCCCAAAUCACGAGUCAGAUGCUUAACCCACUGAGCCAACCAGACGCCCCUCCUUUGCACUUUUAAAAUGCUGCCUGUCUAAAACCUAUAGCAUUCAUACUCAAACUUUGCACAUUGAAAUCAUCUGGGGUGUUGGUUAAACAGGCUUCCGGCGGUAGGGUCGGGGGAAGAGGUAGCAGGCGCCAUGUGGGGCUCGGAAGGUGGCAAGAGGAAGCCCCUGAAGCAGCCCAAGAAGCAGGUCAAGGAAAUGGACGAGAUAAGACAUUCAACCAGAAACAGAAAGAGGAGGAGAAGAAACUCAAGGAGCUAAAAACGCAGGCUAUGGGGAAGGGCCCCCUGCCACAGUUAGAAUUAAGAAAUCUGGUAAAAAGUAAGCUGUUCCUUGUGCCUGAGGCAAUGGUAAUCCUAAAUUCCAUUCCUGUUUAAACUUCUGGAUUCCCUGUCAUAGCAUCUGUUGCCACCUAUAGCUUGAAUGAAGUGUUGGAAGUGUUGCCUUAGAUCCUGUUUACAUUUAAGAAUAAACUUAAAAAAAAAAUCAAUCAUAAAGAAAAAAAUACAAGUGCCCAGCUUCAUAUCCAGAAAUUCUGAUUUUAAGAUGAAGAUCUAGUCUGGAACCCAAACAUUGUUUUGUUAUCAUAUUUAACAAAUUCCCCCGGAGAUUCUGAUGCCCAUCAGAAUUUGAAAACCUCAGGUCUAGUUUGCCCACAUUUUCACUUUCCAGACAUUUUUUUUUUAACAUGUAUUUAUUUUUGAGUGAGACAGAGCACAGGCAGGGGAGGAACAGAGAGAGAAGGAGAAACAGAAUCUGAAGGAGGCUCCAGGCUCCGAGCAAGUGUUCAGCACAGAGCCUGACGCAGGGCUCGAACCCAUGAAUCGUGAGAUCAUGACAUGAGCUGAAGUCAGUCACUUAUCCGACUGAGCCACCCAGGCACCCCUCCAGACAAUUUUUAAUAAAAUAAAAUUACUUCCUUCAUCUAAUUAUAACACAUUAAGACCGCAGUACUUACAUAGUAAUUAAACACCUGGGCUCAGGAAUCAGGCUCGCAGAAUACCUUUGAGCAAAUUACCAAAAACUUUCUCUGCACCAUUUUUUUUUUACCUGUAAGAUAAGAAUGAUAAAAAUAGGACCUACCUUAUAGGUUUGUUGUGAGGAUUAAAUGAGAUAAUAUGUCUAGAACACCUAGCACAGUGCCAAGGCACAUAAUAGGUACUCAAUAAAUGUUAGACAUUAUUAAUUGAAGAUUUCUGUCACCUCCUCAUUGGAACCAGGUUGAUGGUGUGUCCUAUUAGCCUAUGAAUAGUGUUCAGGGGCCCUCCAAACCCUUUGCAAUUUGAUGUUAAAUUUUCUUUAUGCAUUCUGCUGUGAAACAGAUAUACAGAGAGCUCUUCCCAGAUUCUCAAAGGGGGUCUGUAACACUGUACUGAACUCUAGAAGCUAGCUUCUCAAAAACUGCCCUUGACUGGCAAUGUCUGCAUUCCCUGAGACUUCUCAGGCAGACUCAGACUGCAUUCCAGAAUGACUAAAUCAAAAUCUGCACUUCAACAAGAUGCCAAGUGAUUCCUGUGCACAUGCACAUCUGAGAAGCAUGCUCCAGAAAUUUUCCAAAUUUCCCUGAUAAUGAGAAUAACCUAGUAUGCUUAUCAAAUAUGCAGAUGAUCUGAUGUCUUCCUUGGAAAUCAUGAUUCAUUAAGUCUGGAUUAUUUUUAUAUUUAGGGAGGAAAUACCAGUCUCAAAGAUGAAGCUAUCUGCAAGUGAAGAAUUGGUCAGAGAAUCUAUUUUUUGCUGAACUAGACUUCCUGCUGCAGUCUCUUUACCCUCUGCGUGUAACAGUGGAGGACAGAGUACUUAGGCUUCUUCAAAUCGCAGAUGAUUUCCAGUUCCUAUGCAUAUGAAUCCUUGUGAUCAAUCUUUGUCUUCCCUAGCAAGCAUGAGUCUGUACCUAGCUACAAAAAAUGCCCAAUACAAUACCACUAAUUACCUUGGGGAUUUGUAAAAUGCAAUACGUGAUACAUUUAAAGCAACACUUGUGACAUUACACCUAAGGAAUUGCCAUGCAACAUAAGAACUAAAACAUCUCCCAUAUUGAAGUUACCUGGCUAUUCCUUCUCAAUCCCAUACCCCCAGCCUGCUCCAUUUUCCAACCCUUCCAACACAGAGGUGACCACAUUCUACAUUUUGCCUUUAUCACUGCCUUUAUUUAAAAGAAAAUCAUGGCUUUACCACAUAUUUGUCCCUAGUCAGUGUUUUAUAUGUUUUGAAUUUAAUUUUUUUAAUUUUUUAAUGUUUAUUUAUUAUUAAGAGACAGAGAGAGUAUGAGCAUGGGAGGGGCAGAGAGAGGGGGAGACACAGAAUCUGAAGCGGGCACCAGGCUCUGAGCUCUCAGCACAGAGCCCAACGUGGGGCUUGAACUCAAAAAUCGCGAGAUCAUGGCCUGAGCCAAAGUCAGAUGCUUAACCAACUGAGCCACCCAAGAGCCCCAUAUGUUUUGAAUUUUAUAAAAACAGUAUCAUACUAUGUACACUAGUGAGGGUUUGCUUUUUUACUCACCAUUAUUUCUAGUGUAUUCAUGUUCUUUCCUGUUGCUACAUCAAUCAUUCUCACUGAUGGAUAAAUUUCCAUUUGUGUGAAUAUGCUAUUCUACUUAUCCAUUCACCUGUCAAUAGGCAUCUGGUGGUUUCCUUUAGAGCUUUAAAAUGUAUUUCAAAAAAUACCCUUUGGGGGCACCUGGGUGGAUCAGUCCAUUAAGCGUCUGACUUGAUUUCAGCUCAGGUCAUGAUCUUGCGGUUCAUGAGUUUGAGUCCCACAUUGGGCUUUGUGUUGAGAGUGCGAGCCUGCUUGGGAUUCUCACUCUCUCCCUCUUUCUCUUCCCCUCCCCACCACUCACACUCUCUCUCAAAAUGAAUAAAUAAGUAAACAAACAAACACACAAACAAAACUUUAAAAAAUUACAAAAUACACUUAGGCAGGAGCAUCUCCAUAGCACUUUAUAGGAGUGGAAUUGCUAGGGUAUUGGGGUAGGCUGACAAUGCCUCCCAAAGAUAGGUCCGCAUCCUAAUCCUUCAAACCUAUGACCUUAUUUGGAAAAAGAGUUUUAGCAAAUGUAAUUAAGUUAAAGAUCUUGAGAUAGGGAAAUUAUCCUGAAUUAUCCUAGUGAGCCCUAAUUGCCAUCCAACUGUCCUUGUAAAGUGGGAGCCAGAAGGAGAUUUGAAUCCAGACAGAAGAGAAGGCAAGGUACCUUGUCAACACCUUGAUUUCAGUCCAGUGAAACUGAUGUUAAACUUCUGGUCUCCAGAACUGUGAGGGAAUAAACUACUAUUGUUUUAAGUCCUCAAGUUUGUGGUGAUUUGCCACAGCAGACACCGGAAACUAAUACAGAAACAGCACUUUUCUUCAUGACAGAGGCUCCAAGGACACCGAAGGGGUUGAACUACAGACCCAGCUGCAACCUGAGGAGGUAUCUCAACAACCACACAAUAAUGGAGGAAAGAGAGAACUGAGGAAGUGGGGCUCUGAGCACAGAUCUAGCUUGGACAUGAGCAGAUUUUUCUUUAAUGUUUUGCAUAUUAGGUUUGAUAUAUGAUUUUUAUGUGGAAAAAAAAAAAGCUUUCACUUACUCAUUUUUGAAAAUCCUGGACUCUGGACAAUUCUUCACAUUGAACAAACAAAAGUUUCCAUAAUUGCAGAAUCUUCUAUGUUUGAUGUUUCUGGGAAGUAGGCUCUUCAUAAAGGUGUGAUUUAAUGCAGAUUGGGGACAUAAGUCUGAACAAGCUCAUUAGUCUGCAUAUUACCUACAGGAUUUAUUGAUGAUGGUAUGAAACUAUCUGACAGCCGUCAGCCAGGAACAAUGUAUGCAUAAACCAGGGGAUGAGAAACAGGGUCAACAAACAUCAUGUGGUCAGAAAAUGUCGUUACCUAGGUUAACUACUAAUGAAU